rnacentral:rRNA from 1 species
CGGAGGAUCCAAGCGUUAUCCGGAAUCAUUGGGUUUAAAGGGUCCGUAGGCGGUCUAGUAAGUCAGUGGUGAAAGCCCAUCGCUCAACGGUGGAACGGCCAUUGAUACUGCUGGACUUGAAUUAUUAGGAAGUAACUAGAAUAUGUAGUGUAGCGGUGAAAUGCUUAGAGAUUACAUGGAAUACCAAUUGCGAAGGCAGGUUACUACUAAUGGAUUGACGCUGAUGGACGAAAGCGUGGGUAGCGAACAGGAUUAGAUACCCUGGUAGUCCACGCCGUAAACGAUGGAUACUAGCUGUGGGCGCAAGUUCAGUGGCUAAGCGAAAGUGAUAAGUAUCCCACCUGGGGAGUACGUUCGCAAGAUAG